rnacentral:rRNA from 1 species
UACAGAGGUCUCAAGCGUUGUUCGGAUUCAUUGGGCGUAAAGGGUGCGUAGGUGGCGCUGUAAGUCAGGUGUGAAAUUUCGGAGCUUAACUCCGAAACUGCAUUUGAUACUGCGGUGCUUGAGGACUGGAGAGGAGACUGGAAUUUACGGUGUAGCAGUGAAAUGCGUAGAGAUCGUAAGGAAGACCAGUGGCGAAGGCGGGUCUCUGGACAGUUCCUGACACUGAGGCACGAAGGCCCAGGGGAGCAAAACGGG